CGCAUCUCUGACAGACCUGGAGCAGUUGAUGUCUACUGCCAAGGUUUCCACUAGAGACGCAAGAAAAACGAGGUCCUUGCAUUCCCUGUCUGUCUGUCUGUGGCAGCCAGGAGUGAGUGGGGGGAUACAGGA
rnacentral:snoRNA from 1 species